rnacentral:lncRNA from 1 species
CCCUUAUACAACAUUAAGAUGAUUCACAUUCUCUUACCCAAUAUUUUACUUCUCAUAUGAAAUUUAAAUCUGCUCCAUCUGGUGCAGUAACAGUUCUCACAGUCUGUGUGGCCACUGAGAAGGGGGGUGGGGGGAGGCAGGAAAGCAAAGCAAAACAAACUUAUAACUAAAUGUGGAAGGCACCUCUUGAUUUCCUGAGAUUGUGCCCUUCCAGGAAGCUCUGUAGCUUGCUGUUGCAGUACUGUGGCUUUGUAUUUUGUCAUCUGCAGUAAGAUUUGCAGCAUUUUUGCUGAAGAGGCAGGAUUCUCAUUUUUCCCUGGGCACUGCAGCACAGAAGCCGUUUUUCAGGCCAGCUUCACCCUCCUGUGAGUGACAAGAGCGAGGCUCUUUCCAGAAAGGACUCACUUCAGGAGCAGACCAUCUGGAUGCUGUCUCAGAGCUGCACAGAAGAAAGUGUGAGAGAGAAAAUAAAAACCAAGAAAUAGCAAGAAGCUUUAGGGGCAACACAGAAGUGGAAAAGGAAAAUUCAGGUCUGUGUUCAGAACAACCCUUCCCAUAUACGGAUGUUUCACAGCAAAUUGUAUAUAAAACCAAGGAGAGCUACAUGCUGUGCAGCAGAAGCACUGUCAGAAAGGAAGAAUAACAAAGAGGACGCUGUGGAUGGGUGCCUAGAACUGAAGUUACACAACAUGCCUGGGGUAGGACAGUGGUAAUCAUAUCACAGCACCCAGCAUGCUACAUCAGGCAGGAGAAAUGCAGAAGGUGUGGGGCCUUCAGCUUAAUUAUCUCCUUAGAUAAAUCCACAUCUAGGAGAAAAGAGAAAAAGACAACAAAGAACAUUUCAGAUUACAGCUGUGACACCACUCUGAGAGCAAAAGACCUGGGGCUGUCAGGUAAGCUAAGCAGUUUCCCUGCAUCAAUCUACAAUGAACUACGUAAGCCACUUAUACCAGAGACUGUUCAAGCCAUUCUCCAUUAG